rnacentral:rRNA from 1 species
UACGUAGGGGGCUAGCGUUGUCCGGAAUCAUUGGGCGUAAAGAGCGUGUAGGCGGUCCGGUAAGUCCGCUGUGAAAUCCUGGAGCUCAACUCCAGAACUGCCUUCGAUACUGGGAGUCUCGAGUUCGGGAGAGGUGAGUGGAACUGCGAGUGUAGAGGUGAAAUUCGUAGAUAUUCGCAAGAACACCAGUGGCGAAGGCGGCUCACUGGCCCGAUACUGACGCUGAGGUGCGAAAGCGUGGGGAGCAAACAGGG